UGUUUCUUAUUUCUGCUGUUCUCCUGUAACGGUCACAUUUUCUGGUGAGAGGAAACAGUUUUGAAUGUGUGUCCCACCCCUCUGAUUAAAGCACAAUAUCAGACUGUCUGUUAGUCAGGACUGUCAAACCAACAUCACUGUUCCUUCAGUUCUCACUCAUUCACAGUAAAGAUGACAGCACACGCUCUCAUUAUCUGCUCUCUACUGCUUUUCAUUGCUGAGUGUAAUGGACAGAUCACAGUCACUCAGAAUCCCUCAACAACAGCAGCUCAACCAGGACAACAAGUUAAAAUAAACUGUAAAACCAGCAGUGAUACCUCCUACUUGAGCUGGUACUUACAGAAACCUGGAGAAGCUCCUAAACUCCUCAUAUAUUAUGCAACAAGCCGCUACACUGGAACUCCAUCUAGAUUCAGUGGCAGUGGAUCUAAUAGUGAUUUCACUCUGACCAUCAGUGGAGUCCAGACUGAAGAUGCAGGACAUUAUUACUGUCAGAGUUAUCACAGUGGUCCAGUGUUCACACAGUGAUAAAGAGUCGUACAAAAACCUCCUUCAGUGAAAGAGGAACUACUGAUACAGAAACAGUUUCUCUGAAUGUUACAUUAUAAAUUGACAUGGACACAAAGUUUUUGAUUUUGAUAUUUCACACUCAACACUACAUAUGAAACUGGACGACACAUUUUAUUAUAAAUUGAGUAAUUUUUGGUUUAUGUUUUACUUGCUGAUAUGACACUAGUCUUAAACUUUACUGACCGCUAUCCAUGUGAAUACAGCAUCAUGCAAUCAUAAAACAUUUGUUUUCACAGAUGUCAUAUUUUAAUGUAAUUCAUAACUUUAAACAUUUGACUUGUUUCACCCCCUCAAUUGGACAGGCUCAUAUAAAGUGAGAGGUGAUGUCACAUACAUGUUUUUCAGGUAUUCAAAUAGAUUCAUCUAGUGCUGGAGUCUCUUGUUUGAUCGAGUGUGUGUGUUGAUAAAGUGAUUUUUCAGGAGCGUUUUUAAGACAAGACUUGAGGAGAGUCAAGAGCACAGAUAUCAAAACUAACUCUAAUAGAGAGACAAUUCUUCUUCAAGACACUCAACUCCUCAUUUCUGAAAAUGGAAGAACACAUCCAACAGAAUAAAGAAGAGUCUCCCUCCCUCUUUCUUUCUAUUCUUCUUCUUUUUAACACACAAUCACACACUUUCCUUCAAUACACUCAGUCACACAGCACAAUUUCACUCAAUAUCAAAGAACUACAAUUCACUUCACAGUCAAACACUUCUUCCUCUCUCCAUGGAAAGACACAAACUGAAGUCUCUCAGUAACCUGUACCAUCUGCCUCCACUAAUUAACCCUCAUAAUGAAGCUCAUUAGUGGCUUGAACAUCUCAAACAACACCAACAGAGAGAGACAAAGUAAAGUAGUAUUGAUGUUGAAUAGUUGGGUUGUAUUAGUUGUUUUGAUGUUUUUUUAAUGUUGUUGUGUUAGAAAAAGAAUAUGCUGGGUUCAUACAUUUUGACAACCGUGUUGUUUUAAGCAGUAAUGAGUUAGUAGUAAUUUAAACGAA